rnacentral:rRNA from 1 species
CCCUUAGAUGUCCUGGGCCGCACGCGCGCUACACUGAUGCAUGCAACGAGUUUAUAACCUUGGCCUGAAAGGUCUGGGUAAUCUUUUGAACGUGCAUCGUGAUAGGGAUAGAUUAUUGCAAUUGUUAAUCUUGAACGAGGAAUUCCUAGUAAACGCGAGUCAUCAGCUCGCAUUGAUUACGUCCCUGCCCUUUGUACACACCGCCCGUCGCACCUACCGAUUGAAUGGUCCGGUGAAACCUCGGGAUUGCGGCUAGUUCCCUUUAUUGGGGAUUGGUUGUGAGAACCUGUUUAAACCUUAUCAUUUAGAGGAAGGUGAAGUCGUAACA